rnacentral:rRNA from 1 species
CGUAACAAGGUUUCCGUAGGUGAACCUGCGGAAGGAUCAUCAACUGAAAUGAUGAAGGAGAGACCUUUUCUUGCAACCCCCCAAGGAUCGUAGACGGAGUGAAGUGCACUCGCUCGAUUCGUCGAGGGCCAUCAAGUCCCAUUGCGCGAUUGGGAUCAUUGGUUGGUUCGUGCCUUGGGGGGCGGCUCUGGGUGUCUCGUGUGGGUGGAUGGGGCCCUCGUGGGAGGGGCCAUCCUGGUUUUUUUCUUUUGGGCCUCGAUGAUCGAUGUGAGUCGAGGGGGCGUUCGUUUCGUGCGUGCGCCUGGCGUUGGACCUAAACCUUCCCGUGGUGCCCCUGUUGUUGAACCGAUUAGGUCUGUAACAUCGAGAGUUGAUGAUUGUAAAUAUCUUCGAUAACUCUCAACAAUGGAUCUCUAGGCUCUUGCAUCGAUGAAGAACGCAGUGAACUGCGAUAACUGGUGUGAGUUGCACGCUUCUCUAAUCUAACACCAAGCGAAUCAUCGAGUCUUUGAACGCAAACGGCACCCUUCCAGUCCAUUCCAAAGCGGUGGCGGCGGAUGAAGACAAGGGUAUCUCUGGUUGAGUGCAAUGAAACUUGAUCCAGGUCGACGUUGUCGGCCCUGGGGGAUUGGGCUUGCUCGCUCGAGUGAGAGUGGGCUUGCUUCAAAAUCAUUGCGUGUCGUUGGGGCCCUAUUGCAACCUGUAGGAAAAUGAUCGUGCAGCGUCGUUUGGGCCUCGACGGACGGCGACACAAAUUCUUUGUGCACGUUGCCUCAGAUCAGAGAAGACUACCCGCUGGACUUAAGCAUAUC